rnacentral:rRNA from 1 species
AUUGAACGCUGGCGGCAGGCUUAACACAUGCAAGUCGAGCGGGGUGAUGGUGCUUGCACUAUCACUUAGCGGCGGACGGGUGAGUAAUGCUUAGGAAUCUGCCUAUUAGUGGGGGACAACAUCUCGAAAGGGAUGCUAAUACCGCAUACGUCCUACGGGAGAAAGCAGGGGAUCACUUGUGACCUUGCGCUAAUAGAUGAGCCUAAGUCGGAUUAGCUAGUCGGUGGGGUAAAGGCCUACCAAGGCGACGAUCUGUAGCGGGUCUGAGAGGAUGAUACGCCACACUGGGACUGAGACACGGCCCAGACUCCUACGGGAGGCAGCAGUGGGGAAUAUUGGACAAUGGGGGGAACCCUGAUCCAGCCAUGCCGCGUGUGUGAAGAAGGCCUUAUGGUUGUAAAGCACUUUAAGCGAGGAGGAGGCUCUUUUGGUUAAUACCCAAGAUGAGUGGACGUUACUCGCAGAAUAAGCACCGGCUAACUCUGUGCCAGCAGCCGCCGUAA